ensembl:lncRNA
GUAACAGACCUCGCCCUCUUCUUCUGUGGUGUAAACUGUAGUACAGUACAGAGUAUUGGUACAGUACUCUGUCUGUACUGUACUACAGAGCCGUGCUAUAGAACAGUAUUACAACUUUGCCACUACAGAACAGUACUAUAUGAAGACUCGGCCGAUAGGAAGAAGAGGAGGAGAGAGGCGCAUGCGAGCAAGAAGAGGGAGAGGAAGAAGAGAUAGAGCGACACGAAGGGAGACGAGCAGCCGGGAGGAAACGGAGACGGCCAUCUACGUUGAGAUCCUCUGACACUUCACGCAUCCAUAUGUUUAUAAUUUGAUUAAAUGACAACAUGUAACAUAAUGAGAAAUUAAAACAAUUCUGUUUUUUUAUUUUUUUAUUCAAAGACGACGCCACCUCUUGAUAUGAGUAAUCAUCAGGCCUUCAUGGUAG